UUUUUUUUUUUUGUUAGCCGUCUUUUUUUAUUUAUUCAUAUACAUUUUUUACUUCUAGUCUUUGGAGGACCUCCGUUAGAUGGCGCACCCUUUUGUAAUCAGUUGUGGAAAAGCAGAUGCGCAAUGGGUACAUUGCACUGUCUCCCUCGUCAACCCUCAGUGGGUCAAAUUAAGACCCCUGUCCAGUGUGUGGAAAACCCUAAAGGUUCAGGUGGAGUUAUAAUAUAUGACCAGAUGACGUUCACCAUGAACAAACAACACUUGGUGGCAGUUCUUCUCCCUAGAGGUGAAAAACUCUGUCAGACCAAUUUUGUUGUAAUGGCAAGUGAAUACGAGAAAGAUGAAUACCUCCCAAGACCUUAACAUCUCACCCUUUAUACUUCAAAUAAAGGC